GGGAGGCUUUUGGACCGAGUUGAUGGAGAUGAAACUAAGUAAUGGAAGUUCCCGGUUCAGGUGGCCAUUCCACCGGGAUCGGCUACCAGAGGAUUUGUAACUUAGAAUAGCUUACAAAUUAGGAUGCUAGUUGCUGUGCCCAGCGAUUGGGUUACCUGCUGAUUCUAAACGAAGUUUGUGUGGUGCUUUCCUUCACACAGCAACUCAACUGAUUUCCAGAGAGAAAGGAUCUGGAGAACCAAACUCAACUCCUUCAUCUUCUGAGCUACCUCCUCAGGCCCCAUUGAAAGAUAUCUUAAGGUGAAAGAAGGCUCAACUUUCUCCCCCCACUGGAUCAGAUGUGCGUUCUUGGUUCACUGAUGAAGAUCCUCCCAAUCUACCGAGGAGUUCUGGGAACUGAAGACUCACGCUUUCACUAAGGAGGCAGACAUGGUAUGCAGAACUUGUGAGCUCUUGCAUCAGAUCUGAGAACAGUCAAUGUAGCACGAGCACCGUACAGCAUUUGGGGGGAACACUAUGAGAUGACACAAAACGGGACCUCAGCUUACAGGCAUUAAGAAAACCCACUCCCUCUCCUACCAGGUGAGAUAGCAAAUUCCGAAACAGAGCAGUCUGUGCUCACCAUCUCCAAAGCCAUGUUGGAAGCAAGGUGAACGCAUGGGUGAUCUUGCCACUCUCUGUGCCUUCACACUGAUCGUUCAGAGCAGAGCAUCUCUUGAUGAUGUAGGACCACAGAAGACUAAGCAAGUUAGCAAGGUCCAUUGGCCUUGUUCAUCAGUCUUUUUUAUUUUUAAUAUAUGUGACAUAUAUCUGGAAUAAAAAGAAC
rnacentral:sRNA from 1 species